AUGGAACAGGAGAUCCAUGCUCUUCGAAAGAAUAAUACCUGGCGCCUGGUUCCACCUCCCUCUGGUGUCAAUAUUAUUGACUCUAAAUGGGUGUUCAAGGUGAAGAAACAUGCCGACGGAUCCAUUGAGAGGUACAAGGCAAGAUUGGUUGCCAAGGGGUUUAAACAAAGGUAUGGCCUUGAUUAUGAAGAUACGUUUAGUCCUGUUAUCGAACCCACGACUAUUCGUGUUCUUCUUUCGCUGGCUGUUACUCGAGGAUGGUCGCUUCGUCAGCUCGAUGUCCAGAAUGCCUUUCUUCAUGGAGUUCUGGAAGAAGAGGUAUAUAUGCGCCAGCCACCAGGUUUUGUUGACCCUGCUCAGCCACAUCAUCUGUGUCGCCUCGACAAGGCUCUCUAUGGUUUGAAGCAGGCUCCUCGUGCGUGGCAUGCACGUCUUGGCGCUGCUCUUCGUGCACAUGGGUUUAUACCGUCUACAGCAGACACGUCUCUGUUCAUUCUUCAGCGACCUGAGGUGACUAUGUACAUUCUGGUCUAUGUUGAUGACAUCAUACUUGUCAGUUCGUCCGUCACUGCUGCAGAUCGACUUGUGGCUUCUCUAGGGGCUAUUUUUGCUGUUAAGGAUCUUGGGAGACUGCACUAUUUUUUGGGCCUGGAGGUUCUUCAUUCUGACAGUGGCUUGACUCUCACUCAGCAGAAGUACUCUCAGGAUUUGUUACGACGUGCGGGUAUGAUGCAGUGUAAAACUGCUACGACUCCUAUGUCCUCCACAGACAAAUUGUCAGCUUUUGAUGGGGACUUGCUCUCCUCUUAG
rnacentral:rRNA from 1 species